rnacentral:rRNA from 1 species
UUCGAAGGGUGCAAGCGUUACUCGGAAUUACUGGGCGUAAAGCGUGCGUAGGUGGUUUGUUAAGUCUGUUGUGAAAGCCCCGGGCUCAACCUGGGAAUGGCAAUGGAUACUGGCAGGCUAGAGUGCGGUAGAGGGUAGUGGAAUUCCCGGUGUAGCGGUGAAAUGCGUAGAGAUCGGGAGGAACACCAGUGGCGAAGGCGGCUACCUGGACCAGCACUGACACUGAGGCACGAAAGCGUGGGGAGCAAACAGG